rnacentral:rRNA from 1 species
UACAGAGGUCACGAACGUUGUCCGGAAUUAUUGGGCGUAAAGGGCGCGUAGGCGGCCGGACAAGUGGAAGGUGAAAUCCCCGAGCUCAACUCGGGAACUGCCCUCCAAACUGUUUGGCUUGAGUCCGGGAGAGGUGAGUGGAAUUCCCAGUGUAGCGGUGAAAUGCGUAGAUAUUGGGAGGAACACCAGUGGCGAAGGCGGCUCACUGGACCGGAACUGACGCUGAGGCGCGAAAGCGUGGGGAGCAAACAGG